UACGGGGGGGCAAGCGUUGUUCGGAAUUACUGGGCGUAAAGGGCUUGUAGGUGGCCAACUAAGUCAGACGUGAAAUCCCUCGGCUUAACCGGGGAACUGCGUCUGAUACUGGAUGGCUUGAGUGUGGGAGAGGGAUGCGGAAUUCCAGGUGUAGCGGUGAAAUGCGUAGAUAUCUGGAGGAACACCGGUGGCGAAGGCGGGUCUCUGGGCCGAUACUGACGCUGAGGAGCGAAAGCGUGGGGAGCGAACAGG
rnacentral:rRNA from 1 species